rnacentral:rRNA from 1 species
UACAGAGGUCCCAAGCGUUGUUCGGAUUCACUGGGCGUAAAGGGUGCGUAGGUGGUCGGGUAAGUCUGAUGUGAAAGCUCUGGGCUCAACCCAGAAAUGGCAUUGGAUACUAUCCGGCUAGAGGAAUGGAGGGGGGACUGGAAUACUUGGUGUAGCAGUGAAAUGCGUAGAUAUCAAGUGGAACACCAGUGGCGAAGGCGAGUCCCUGGACAUUUCCUGACACUGAGGCACGAAAGCUAGGGGAGCAAACAGG